CCGUACCUGACCUGGUCAAGGGUGCGAGUCAAGCCACGGUGGCGGCAGGCCAUCUCUAACUCUCUAUCGCCCGAGCCGCCGCAUUGGUCGUUCAACUCGUAGCCCCGGCGGGCCGGCGGCGAGUCACCUUCAGUUCGUGUCCCUGAAGAACACGUAUGAAUGGGAUGUUUGGGAUUUCUUGUGCUUGGUACUCCAAGUAUGACGAGAGAACAUAAAUCUCCGCAAAUGUCAACGCAAUCUCGGUAGGCUGACCUACUGGAUUUGAGAGGUCAACAGUCAACAGUCUAACACCAGUGACAUUUCAGAGUACAGAAAUUUCAGUUUAAGAUAGUAUGGCAUAUCCUUGGGGCUCGCUACAAAAAGUGCGAAACCCACAAGCUUUACAAAGUAUUUAUUUACCCAUAUAAGUACUUGAUAGGAUACUGACCUUUCCAACAUUUGUUCUGAAAUUUCCUCCGUUUCAAAUCCAUCAUCCUUUGUAUGCUGAAGUUUUGGAAUAGGAUUGAGCUUCCCAUGUUAGGAUGGGCUGAUAAGUUCCUCUUGAA